rnacentral:lncRNA from 1 species
CUCUCUCUCUCUCUCUCUCACAAAAACACACCGGAAGACACAGCAACCCUGCUCAGUAGCUACGAAGUCACUUACCACUGCUUAACACCUCUGAAGUCAACCUAGGUCAUCGGAAGAAGUAGAGGACACCAGAAACCCCCGUCGGCAUCCACCGCAGCAGCUCACCGGAAAACUCAAAAUCGACAGUAAAGGGAUUAUUAAGAUUUGUAAAAGAUUCGAGGGAUUAAGGGCACUAGGGUGCAGAGAAUGAAGGGAAAAGUUCGAAUAUGACAAUUCUAGGCCAAGUCGUCGUCGGAGACGGCGGAAAUAGACGAACACAGUCGGAGCUUCUCGCCAUCGAUUUGUCUUUGAAUCAGUAUGUGCAAUUCACGGGCUGGGUUAUGUAGAGGGGAAAGAGAGAAGAAAUUUGGUGGUGGUUUUGUGGAGAAUGGUGGCCAGAGUCGACCGAGAGGCGUCGGAGAAGACGGCCGAGGACGGAGAGCUUCUCAGCUCUCGUCGUACGCGAGAGAGGAGUGCUUGACCCGACUUGGGUCAGUUGACCUUGGUUGGGUUUUCAAAGAAGGAAUCAACGGUCAAGAUUAAAAGAGAACGAGAUCAAAAUGGUCUACUUGUUUACGAACACUAACCUACCAGUUUUGUAAACAUGGUGUACUAGGUUUUCGAAUCAUUGUCUCACACUACGAGUAGACCAACUCUAAAGUGUCCAAAAUUCACACACACUUGAAGAAUUCUUGAGAGGUUUACAUGUUUAUGAAGCCUGGUCUGCUUAUUUACGAGUACGGGUCUACUUUUUUUGUGAGACAAAAUGGUCUACCUGUUUACGAACACGAACCUACCUGUUUUGUAAACAUGGUCUACCAGGUUUCCGAAUCAUUGACUCAUACUAUGUGUAGACCAACUCUACAGUGUCCAGAAUUCACACACACUUGAAGAAUUUUUAAGAGGUCUAUCUGUUUACGAAGUCUGGUCUGCUUAUUUACGAGAAAGGGUCUACUUUUUUUGUGAGACAAAAUGGUCUACCUGUUUACGAACACUAACCUACCUGUUUUGUAAACAUGGUGUACUAGGUUUUCGAAUCAUUGUCUCACACUACGAGUAGACCAACUCUAAAGUGUCCAAAAUUCACACACACUUGAAGAAUUCUUAAGAGGUUUACAUGUUUAUGAAGCCUGGUCUGCUUAUUUACGAGUACAGGUCUACUUUUUUUGUGAGACAAAAUGGUCUACCUUUUUACAAACAGAAACCUACCUGUUUUGUAAACAUGGUCUAGCAGGUUUUCGAAUCAUUGUCUCACACUACGAGUAGACUAACUCUAAAGAGUCCAGAAUUCACACACUUGAAGAAUUCUUGAGAGGUUUACCUGUUUACGAAGCCUAGUCUGCUUAUUCACGAGUACGGGUCUACUUUUUUUGUGAGACGAAAUGGUCUACCUGUUUACGAACACUAACCUACCUGUUUUGUAAAUAUGGUGUACCAGGUUUCUGAAUCAUUGACUCAUACUACGUGUAGACCAACUCUAAAGUGUCCAGAAUUCACACACACUUGAAGAAUUCUUGAGAGAUCUACCUAUUUACGAAGCCUGGUCUGCUUAUUUACGAGAAAGGGUCUAUUUUUUUGUGAGACAAAAUGGUCUACCUGUUUACGAACAAUAACCUACCUGUUUUGUGAACAUGGUAUACUAUGUUUUCGAAUCAUUGACUCACACUACGAGUAGACCAAUUCUAAAGUGUGCAGAAUUCACAGACACUUGAAAAAUUUUUGAGAGGUCUACCUGUUUACG